CUCUCUCUUUAGAAAACUCUAACGUCUCUGUCUCUUCGUCUCUCUGCUUCAACUCCUUCAGCUCCUUCACUUUCCGCUUCAACUCCAUCUCCAUUGUUGCCGUCUCCAUCAUCUCAGCGUCAAGCUCCAAUUUUAAUUUCCAAAAGGUAAUUUUUGUUUUCUUUUUUCUCAAAGUUAGGGUUUCAUCCAUUUUUUUUAGUUGCUUAAGGAUUGUUCUCAUAGUUGAUUGUGUGCGACAUUGUGGUUUAAACCUGUUAUCUUAUAAACGAGAACUAGCUAGUGCUUUAGGUAUAUGAUUAUUUCACAUAUUAGUUCAAGUCGCACAACGCGUUCAAUUGUAUAAAUUAUGCUUUGUUUUAUCAGUUUAUUUUAUCUGUAUUUGCUAUGGUGUGUUGUCUGAACAUUAAUUUUAUAAGCUCAGCCUUUCAUAGAUAGCAUGGUGAUCGAAGGUGACGUUGCAUUGUUUGAUGAGAAAUACUGAAUUUGGGUAUUAAUUUUUCAAUUGCAUAGAGCUAUUUAGUGAAAAUAGAGUAUUUGUCGCUGCAAUAUUAACUUAACACAAGUUUUAUUGGCCUUCAAAUAUUGGCUGAGAAAGGACCUACCUUUACUGGCAGUCCAAAGUAAUACUAGUUAGUAAAAGUCCAUUAAAAUUCAACUUUCCUGAAAUUUUUACUCUCCCUCCAAUUUAUUUUCCCUGUAAAAUAUUUCCCCUACUGCCACAUUCACCAUACAGAACAGGGCAGACCUUUCUCCCUCAUUGUUGUUGAUGCUCAUAUGGUCUCUCUCGCCAUCAUCGAGGUUUGGAGGAUAUUAGGCCUUAUAGGAAACACUAGACAAUGUACUUGGCUUGUGGAAGUUCUAUAGUAAUUAGCCUAAAAAGAACUUUAUAACAGAAUUUUAUGCAUUGUUGGUUAGUUUGAGAGUAUGAGUUAUGGUAAGCAUAUAAUAUAGUGAGAAGGAAGUUGUGGAUAGAACAAUUUGUUUGUUCCAACUUCCAAGCUUAUAGAUCUGAGUUAAAUAUCAUGUUCAACUUCCUUCUCAUUUUGCUCAUUAAGUUUUUGGUCAGGUUGUACAUCCUUGUUUAGGAAUAUUCAUUUUGUUGAUCAAUAGCCAUUACAAUUGCCAAAGUAUCUUGGCCAGUAGUAUCUUGCUCACCACAAAAAACCUUGAUCCAUCUCAACAUUAUUAAGUUGUACUCCUAACGUUUGACCUGUAGUUCACAUCUUCCCAUCAAUAACAUGUGCGAUUUAUUAAUAGCUUACUCUAAUGCUUCAACAAUUUCUAAAUCUGAUGGUUUUAGAGCUCUAACAUGCCCUUGUUCAUCAACACUAGUCCAGCAAAUGAACUCCUUAAUUGUUGUCCAUAAUAGCCUUGCGUUGCAUCAAAUAAAGUCCUUGAAUCGCCUAUAUGUUGCACAUAGUUUUCACUAUCUUGGACCACCUACUCACUUGCAUUACCAUCCCCUUUCCACCAGUUGGUUACCGCAAAAAAUUCUUAUGCUUGUUAGAACUAGAAGCAUUUGUCUUGGCAACAUGUAGAUUCUUGCUUUUGUCUUUCUGUUUUUGUUGUAGCAUUUUUAGCAACUAUUUCAUUUGUUUCAGCAACGGCUGAAAUAAUUACAAUAAUUGCUGAAAUUACUAUUGCAACUGCUAUAAUAAUUACAACACUUAUUAUAAAAUAAUUUUAAAAAUGCAACAGUUGUUAAAUCUGCAAUUGUUUACCCUAUUUCUUUUUGUAGUUUUGAAACUAACUUUCAAAAUUAUCUAAGGAUAAUGAAUUUAUUUUUGCAUCAUCACAUUUUGAUUUUAUUGUUUUUACAUGUAGAUUGUGUAUCCAUGAUUAUUUUUAUAACUAAGUAAUCAUAUCUCCACUAUAUUUCUUGUCGUAUAACUUCUUACCAUAUCCCCUUCUCCUCAUUUUUUGGCCUUUUAUUCUAUAAAUUGUGUUAAUGACCUCUUUUCUUUUUUAAUUUUUUUUUUAUGAUUUAGUUAAUAAUUUUAUUUUUGUUUCAUGUAGGGUAGAUAAAAUGACUCCAAGACAAAAAUGAACAAUUGCUACUACUACUACCAAAAAGUAUAGAAGGAAAAUUAGUACACAAAGACAAAGAGAAGAAGAAGAAAGUACCAGAUUAGAAAAGUCCAUAGAAGAAGUUGAAAACACAAGAUUGGAAACUUCUUUAAAUGAAGAAAGAGAACGUGUAAUAAAUGCUUUUUCUACAAAUGUAGAAGGAGAUGAUAGAGGAGGAAUAACAUGAUAUACAUAUUCCAGAGAAGGAGACAUUUUCUAUUGCUGAGCCUUCUCCGGUUAGUUCUUCAAUUGAUACUUUCUUUGUGAAGCCGAUUAGGUAUGCAAAUUACAGUUUUAAGUCAAUGAUUGAUUUGUAUUCAGAUUUCAGAGGUUCUUUACUGUUAAGUCAGAAUGGUGUAAGUUUUCUGAUUUUAGUAGAACAAAAACUGGGAAAAAAAAUCGACUUUUUAUUUUCAGAAACUACUCAUUACUUGAAUAUGUGAGUAUUAGAUUUUGUUGGUGUUGUUGACAAUAUUGGUAAAAACAUUAGUGUUGUGAAAAAAUUUAUUUUAUUGUUAUGUUAUUUUCAAUAGAUGACCUAUUUGUCGUAAUAGAUGAGUUAUCUAUUGCAAAUGAGUCAUAUGUUGGAAGAAAUCAAAUCAGUAGCAAGACUUUUUUAUUUCUUUCAACAUGUGCCUUGUCGGUUGAAACAAAUAACCCAUCUAUUGCAACAGAUGGACCAUUUAUUGCAAUAGACACGUCAUCUAAUGGAAGAAAUCAAAUCAGUAGACUAUUAAUUAUUCUAUUAUAUUUAUUAAAUUUAUUGCUAUAUUUUUUUAAUGAUGCACAAAUCAAUUGUAUUUUUCUUCUUCUUAUUUGUAGAUAAAAUGACUUCUUAAAGAAAAUCAAAUGAAUGAAUCAACCUCUAGUAAAUCAACUAAAAACAGUUUAAGUACAAACACUAUUAGAAGAACUUGUUGAACAAGUCCUUUCACAAAUAGAUGAUAUGUUACAUUCUGUAGAUGUACAGAAAGAAAAUGUGGAAAGAGAUAAUGAAGAAAAAUCAGUCAGAAGUUCUAGAAAAACUAUAGAGGAGGAAGAUGAAAAUAAAAAUGAAGAAAAGAAAAUAAAUGAUAAAGAUGAUGAAAAAACGGAAAGUGAUAAAGAAGAUGAGAAAGGUGAAGAAAGUGAUGAAGUAGAUGAUAUUGAAAGUGGAAAAGAUACUGAAGAGGAAACUGAAAAGGAUGAUGAAGAGGAAAGAGGAUGACAAUAUUGAUGACGAUGUUGAGGUAUCCAUGAGCAAUCGUGAACGCAGAUCAAAAACCCGACAUGAUAUUGUCAAUUUUUUUAGUAUUAACGAGUUUCAGGUAGAGAUGUGUAUAGAUAAUCCUACAAAUUUGAUGGGUGAUUUUGUUGUAAAAUUAGUCAUAAACGUCAAAUUUGAUAAUUUUAGAAAGACAUUGAAGGAUGAAAAAUUGGAGGAUUUCUUUAAGUCCGAUUGUUUUGGACACUUUGAUGCCGGAGGAUAACAAUGUACGCUUUCAAAAUGACCAUGGUGUAUGAUCUUCUCAAGUGCAGGAUCAAAUAUAAGGGUGAUGAUGAUGAUGCUUUGAAGGAUGAAAACAAAAAAUGGAUGAGAUUUGAAUAAACUAUUGUGGCAUGUCAAUUUGUUUUGGCAUGAAAGAAUUUGUCAUAAUGACUGGACUGAGAUGUCAUCCUCAUUCUGAACCUCUUUUCAAAGUUACACCCUUAAAAAAGCUAAGAAAAACAAGACAUCUAAAUCAGUCAAGACUGAAAAGAAAGACAAAUUGUCAACCAAGACAACCACCAAAAUCAGCUAAGGCAAAGAAAAAAUAAAUAAUGAGAGUGAGUUGCUGACCAUUGUUGGACCUAGUUAUAAAGCGAAUUAUUUGUUAGCAGAUUUCAAAAACAAAAAGAUUUUGAGGAAACACAAAAAGCGAUUGUGCUUAGUUUGAUUUGUGCAUGUCAUUUAAUGGGCUAAAUGCAUCAACAAAGUUAUAAAUCUUGAAUUGUUUGUGCUUGUUCAGGAUUUGAAUGCAUUCAACAAUUACCCAUGGGGUUAUGAUGGUUAUUUCUUGACUGUCAAAUAUUUGUUGACAAAGUUAUCAUCAAAUACGAAUAAUUCAUAUGGCUUUCCUUGGGCUUUCAUAGUAAACUUCACCUGUUAUUGAAUAAUUUAUUCUAAUUUUUAGAAUAAUUAUUCAAUAACAUAAAUAAAUAAAAUACUAAAAUUAGAGGUGAAGUAUAUCAUGAAGGCCCAAGAAAAACUAUAUAAAUUUUUCGUCUUUGAUGAUAACUUUGUCAACAAAUAUUUGACAGUCAAGAAAUAACUAUCAUAAUCCUAUGGGUAAUUGUUGAAUGCAUUCAAAUACUGAACAAGCACAAACAAUUCAAGAUCUAUGACUUUAUUGAUGUCGUUAGCCCAUAAAAUGGCUUGCAAAAACCAAACUAAGCACAAUCACUUUUUGUGCUUCUUCAAAACCUUUUAUUCUUGAGAUCUGUUAACAAAUCCUUGGCUUUAUAACUGGGUCCAACAAUGGUCAACAACUCAUUCUCAUUAUUUAUUUUUCUUUGCCUUUGUGGGUUUUGGUGGUUGGCAAUUUGUCUUUCUUUCCAGCCUAUACUGAUUUAGAUGUAACUGGGUCCAACAAUGGUCAGCAACUCAUUCUCAUUAUUUAUUUUUCUUUGCCUUUGUGGGUUUUGGUGGUUGGCAAUUUGUCUUUCUUUCCAGCCUAUACUGAUUUAGAUGUAACUGGGUCCAACAAUGGUCAGCAACUCAUUCUCAUUAUUUAUUUUUCUUUGCCUUUGUGGGUUUUGGUGGUUGGCAAUUUGUCUUUCUUUCCAGCCUAUAUUGAUUUAGAUGUCUUGUUUUAUCUUGACUUCUUAAAGGGUGUAACUUUAGAAAGAGGAUGACAUCUCAAUCCAGUCACUAUAGCAAAUUCUUUCAUGCCAAAACAAACCGACAUGUCACAAUAGUUUAUCCAAAUUUCAUUCAUCUUCUUGUUCUCAUCCUUCAAAGCAUCAACAUCAUCACCCUUAUAGUUGAUCCUGCGCUUGAGAAGAUCAUACAUCAUGAUCAUUUGAAAGUGUACAUUGUUAUCCUCCGGCAACAAAGUGUCCAAAACAGCUAGACUUAAAGAAAUCCUCCAAUUUUUAUCCCUAAAUGUCUUUCUAAAAUCAUCAAAUUUGAUGUCCAUGACUGAUUUUACAACAAAAUCACCAGUCAAAUUUGUAGGGUUAUCUAUAGGCAUCUUCACCUGAAACUUGUCAAUACUAAAAGUUUUGACAACAUUAUGUCGGCCUUUUGAUCUGCGUUAACAAUCGCUUAUCGAUACCUCAAUAUUAUCAACUCUUCAUCAUCUUUUUCAGUUUCCUCUUCAGCAUAUUUCCCACUUUUAAUAUCAUCUCCUUUCUCACUUUCUUUUUUCACCGUCAUUCUACUUUCAGUUUCUUCAUUAUUUAUUUCCUUUUCUUUAUUUUCAUCUUCCUCCUCUACAGUUUUUCUAGUACUUCUAAUUGAUUUUUCUUUUCACAUUUUCAUUCUCUUUCUAUACAUCUACAGAAUGUAAUACAUUGUCUGUUUGUGAAAUGACUUAUUCAACAAGUUCUUCUAAUGAUAGUUGUAGUUUAGCUAUUUUACUUGAUUUAUCAGAGGUUGAUUCACUUGCUUUUCUUUUGAAAUUUACUUUAUCUACAAAUAAGAAAAAAAUUACAAUUGAUUUGUGCAUCAUUAAAAAAAGAUAGCAACAAAUUUAAUAAAUACAACAUAAUAUAAUAAUCAAUAGUCUACAGAUUUGAUUUCUUCCAACAGAUGAUUUGUAUAUUACAAUAGAUGAACCAUAUGUUGCAACAGAUAAGACAUUUGUUGGAAGAAAUAAAAAGAGUCUUACUGUUGAUUUGAUUUCUUCCAACAUAUGAUUCAUAUGUAGCAAUAGAUAACUCAUCUACUGCAACAAAUACUCCAUCUAUUGAAAAUAACAUAACAAUAAAAUAUUUUUUUCAUAAUAAUAAUGUUUUUAUCAAUAAUACCAACAAAAUUAAGAAUACCACACAAACUAUAUCACUAGUUAAACAACAUUGGUCUCAUAUUUUUACCAAUACACUAAGAACACCAACAAAACAAAGAAUACACAGAAUAUGAGUUCUAAAGUUUUUCAAAACAACUACUCUUUAACAACAAGCAAGUUGAAAAUUUGUAACUUUUUUUUAUCACAAAGUGAUUAUUUAACAGAUCGAAAAUUUGUAGCAACAACCAGAUAGAAAAAUUGUAAAUCUGAUGGUUUUUGAGUUCUAGCAUGCCCUUGUUCAUCAACGCUGGUCCAACAAAUAAACUCCUUCAUUGUUGUCCAUAACAGACUUGCGUUGCAUCAAAUAAAGUCCUUGAAUCACCUAUAUGUUGCACAUAGUUUUCACUAUCUUGGACCACCAUCUUACUUGCAUUACCAUUCCCUGUAGAACCUCUGUUUUCAAUCGUUGGUUAUCGCAAAAAAUUAUUAUGCUUUUUAGAACUAGGAGUGUUUGUCUCGGCAACAUGUAGAUUGUUGCUUUUGCCUUUCUGUUUUUGUUGUAGCAUUUUUAGCAACUAUUUCAUUUGUUUCAGCAACUGCAAAUAAUUACAACAAUUGCUGAAAUUUCUAUAAAAUAAUUUUAAAAAUGCAACAGCUGCUACAUCUGCAAUUGUUUACCAUAUUUAUUUUUGUAGUUUUGAAACUAACUUUCAAAAUUAUCUAAGGAUAAUGAAUUUAUUUUUGCAUUAUCACAUUUUGAUUUUAUUAUUUUUACAUGUAGAUUGUGUAUCCAUGAUUAUUUUUAUAACUAAUAAUCACAUUUCCACCAUAUUUCUUGUUGUAUAACUUCUUGUCAUAUCUCCUUCUCCUCAUUUUCUGGCUUUUUAUUCUAUAAGUUGUGUUAAUGACUUCAUUUCUUCUUCUUUUUCAUUUUAUGAUUUAGUUAAUAAUUUUAUUUUUGUUUCACGUAGCGUAUAUAAAAUGACUCCAAGAAAAAAGUGAGCAACAAUUGCUACUACUCCUACUAAAAAGUAUGAAAGGAUAAUUAGUACACAAAGACAAAAAGAAGAAUAAAGCACAUGGUAGAAAAAAUCUAUAGAAGAAGUAAGUACUAGAUUAGAGAAGUCCAUAAAAGAAGUUGAAAACACAAGAUUGGAAAAUUCUAUAGAUGAAGAAAGAGAACGUGGAAUAGAUGUUUUUUCUACAAAUGUAGAAGGAGAUGAUAGAGGAGGAACAACAUGAUAUACCUAUUUCAAUGGAGACGUUUUCAUUGCUGAGUCUUUUCAGGUUAGUCCUUCAACUGAUACUUUCUUUGUGAAGCCGAUUAAGUAUGCAAAUUAUAGUUUUGAGUCAAUGAUUGAUAUGUAUUCAAAUUUAAGAGGUUCUUUAUUCUUAAGUCGGAAUUAU
rnacentral:lncRNA from 1 species